rnacentral:rRNA from 1 species
UACGUAGGGUGCGAGCGUUAAUCGGAGUUACUGGGCGUAAAGCGUGCGCAGGCGGUUUUAUAAGACAGAUGUGAAAUCCCCGGGCUCAACCCGGGACCUGCCUUUGUGACUGUAUAGCUAGAGUACGGUAGAGGGGGAUGGAAUUCCGCGUGUAGCAGUGAAAUGCGUAGAUAUGCGGAGGAACACCGAUGGCGAAGGCAAUCCCCUGGACCUGUACUGACGCUCAUGCACGAAAGCGUGGGGAGCAAACAGG